rnacentral:rRNA from 1 species
UGCAAGUCGAACGGUAACAGGUCUUCGGACGCUGACGAGUGGCGAACGGGUGAGUAAUACAUCGGAACGUACCCUGGAGUGGGGGAUAACGUAGCGAAAGUUACGCUAAUACCGCAUACGAUCUACGGAUGAAAGUGGGGGAUCGCAAGACCUCAUGCUCGUGGAGCGGCCGAUAUCUGAUUAGCUAGUUGGUAGGGUAAAAGCCUACCAAGGCAUCGAUCAGUAGCUGGUCUGAGAGGACGACCAGCCACACUGGAACUGAGACACGGUCCAGACUCCUACGGGAGGCAGCAGUGGGGAAUUUUGGACA